UAAGCUUCACAGUGAACAUUACUCUCAUCAACAUAGUCCAUAUCAACAACAAAAAUAUAUCUUGACUCCAUAUAGUGGCUAUUUUGGAAAAAAUCCCAGGCAAGAGGAAACGGAACAUGCACCAUCAGGAGCAUCUUGCUGUUUUAAGAGAGAUGCAGGUGGCUGAUAUUCAACAGCAGGAACUGAACCGGGCACAGAGGGAGCUACAUUUGCAGAUGGCAAUAGAUGAGGCCCGGCAAGCAAGGGAGCAGGAAGCGGCCUUAAGGAGGGAGGAAAAUGUACAAACGGCUGCAUUCAAUCAAGCCUUUCUCAACGUCAUGGGGAUGCUUGUACAGGCGAUGAGUAACAGAACAGAACAGUGACAGAACUGACAAGAACAGAACUCUCUGCCCGACUAAAACCUCCCUAGUCCAUACUUCACGGAAACAGUUAAUUUUUUAACUUGUUUUUCCUGUGAAUGUUUUUCUACUACAUACGUUUGUGCACAAC
ensembl:lncRNA